UACUAGAGUAGCACUCGCAUAUCAAUAAGCGGAGGAAAAGAAACUAACAAGGAUUCCCCUAGUAACGGCGAGUGAAGCGGGAAGAGCUCAAAUUUGAAAUCAUAAAGGGUUUCCCUUUACGAAUUGUAGUUUAAAGAAGUGUUUUCUGUUGAGGUUUUGGUAAAAGUUCUUUGGAAUAGGACAUCAUAGAGGGUGAGAAUCCCGUAUUUGACCUUUACUUUCAACUUUGUGGUACACUUUCAAAGAGUCGGAUUGUUUGGGAAUGCAGUCCAAAAUGGGUGGUAAACUUCAUCUAAAGCUAAAUAUUGGCGAGAGACCGAUAGCGAACAAGUACCGUGAGGGAAAGAUGAAAAGAACUUUGAAAAGAGAGUUAAACAGUACGUGAAAUUGUCAAAAGGGGAGCGUUUGACACCAGUGUUGUUUUUCUGAAAAUCAAUUAAAGAACUGUUUAUGCUAAGUUGUUUAGACUUUAUCAGCUAACUGUUUAGUUUUGAGCUUUUCUUUAAUGCACUUUUCAGUUAACAAGUCAACAUCAAUUUCUUUUGCUGUAAAAAAGCUUGAGGAAGGUGGCUUGAGAUUCGUCUUAAGUGUUUAUAGCCUCUUGCCUAUGCAGUCGGAGAGAUUGAGGUCUGCAGCGUAGAUCCUUCGGGGCUAAAUGCAUUUGUGCUAAGUUAUAGCAUUUUAUAGACAACUUGUUGACUAUGAUUUGUCUUGUAGCUUACUCGCUUAUGUUAUUUUACCUACGCUUAGGAUGUUGAGUCAUCACACAUCUCU
rnacentral:rRNA from 1 species